rnacentral:Y_RNA from 1 species
GGCUGGUCUGAAGAUACUGAGUUAUCUCACUUGAUUGUUCACAGUCAGUUACAGAUCAAACUCCUUGUUCUACUCUUUCCCCCUUCUCACUAUAGCACUUGACUACUCUAAA